CCUACGGGUGGCAGCAGUGGGGGAUAUUGCACAAUGGGGGGAACCCUGAUGCAGCGACGCCGCGUGGGUGAAGGAGCGUUUCGGCGCGUAAAGCCCUAUCGGCAGGGAAGAAGGAGGACGGUACCUGACUAAGAAGCCCCGGCUAACUACGUGCCAGCAGCCGCGGUAAUACGUAGGGGGCAAGCGUUAUCCGGAUUUACUGGGUGUAAAGGGGGCGCAGACGGCAGCGCAAGCCAGGAGUGAAAGCCCGGGGCCCAACCCCGGGACUGCUCUUGGAACUGCGCGGCUGGAGUGCAGGAGGGGCAGGCGGAAUUCCUGGUGUAGCGGUGAAAUGCGUAGAUAUCAGGAGGAACACCGGUGGCGAAGGCGGCUUACUGGACCAUAACUGACGUUGAGGCUCGAAAGCGUGGGGAGCGAACAGGAUUAGAUACCCGUGUAGUC
rnacentral:rRNA from 1 species